AAAUAGGACAGCCUUAGUGUAAAUUACCUGGAUACAAAAUCUCUACAAUCUGGUUAAUUUACAAUAGUUGGGUCAAGAAGUCCAAGAGCAUGCCCUCUUGACGGAGGCAAAACUGUUUGCAACUUCUUUAUCAUGUGGUCAAGCUUCCUCAACUUGUCCAUCUGCUCUGCUUGCAC